GACGAACGCUGGCGGCGUGCCUAAUACAUGCAAGUUGAGCGCUGAAGGUUGGUACUUGUACCGACUGGAUGAGCAGCGAACGGGUGAGUAACGCGUGGGGAAUCUGCCUUUGAGCGGGGGACAACAUUUGGAAACGAAUGCUAAUACCGCAUAAAAACUUUAAACACAAGUUUUAAGUUUGAAAGAUGCAAUUGCAUCACUCAAAGAUGAUCCCGCGUUGUAUUAGCUAGUUGGUGAGGUAAAGGCUCACCAAGGCGAUGAUACAUAGCCGACCUGAGAGGGUGAUCGGCCAAAUUGGGACUGAGACACGGCCCAAACUCCUACGGGAGGCAGCAGUAGGGAAUCUUCGGCAAUGGACGAAAGUCUGACCGAGCAACGCCGCGGGAGUGAAGAAGGUUUUCGGAUCGUAAAACUCUGUUGGUAGAGAAGAACGUUGGUGAGAGUGGAAAGCUCAUCAAGUGACGGUAACUACCCAGAGAGGGACGGCUAACUAUGUG
rnacentral:rRNA from 1 species